GAAGGGGGCUAGCGUUGUUCGGAAUUACUGGGCGUAAAGCGCACGUAGGCGGCAUUCCAAGUUGGAGGUGAAAUCCCCGGGCUUAACCUGGGAACUGCCUCCAAAACUGGGAAGCUCGAGUCCGAGAGAGGUGAGUGGAAUUUCCAGUGUAGAGGUGAAAUUCGUAGAUAUUGGAAAGAACACCAGUGGCGAAGGCGGCUCACUGGCUCGGUACUGACGCUGAGGUGCGACAGCGUGGGGAGCAAACAGGAUUAGAUACCCUGGUAGUCCACGCCGUAAACGAUGGGUGCUAGUUGUCAGGCAGCUUGCUGUUUGGUGACGCAGCUAACGCAUUAAGCACCCCGCCUGGGGAGUACGGUCGCAAGAUUAAA
rnacentral:rRNA from 1 species